rnacentral:rRNA from 1 species
CCUCGAAGUGUCACGAAGAGGCGGUGAAACAUAGGCACCACACGUUGUACGGGUUAAUGUGUGGUAGAGGGCUCGAGGGCGGGUCAUUUAGUCGAGGGGGAAAGCCAUGGGCGCAACACAUAGGCGGCACUCGAGACUACUGGGACUAGAGUUCGGUAGGGGAGCGGGGAUUUCCUGGUGUAGCGGUGAAAUGCGCAGAUAGCAGGAGGCACACCGGUGGCGAAGGCGCCGCUCUGGGCCGAAACUGACGCUGAGGAGCGAAAGCGUGGGUAGCAAACAGGAUUAGAUACCCUAGUAGUC